GCAUUGGUGGUUCAGUGGUAGAAUUUUUAUUUUCCACACGGGAGACCUUGGUUCAACUCCUGGCCGACGCG
rnacentral:tRNA from 1 species